UACGUAGGGGGCAAGCGUUGUCCGGAAUCAUUGGGCGUAAAGCGCGUGUAGGCGGCUCGAUAAGUCUGCUGUGAAAGUCCAAGGCUCAACCUUGGGAUGCCGGUGGAUACUGUCGAGCUCGAGUCCGGAAGAGGAGUGUGGAAUUCCUGGUGUAGCGGUGAAAUGCGCAGAUAUCAGGAGGAACACCGAUGGCGAAGGCAGGUCUCUGGGCCACUACUGACGCUGAGAAGCGAAAGCGUGGGGAGCGAACAGG
rnacentral:rRNA from 1 species